GACGUAGGGCGCGAGCGUUGUCCGGAUUUAUUGGGCGUAAAGAGCUCGUAGGCGGUUUGUCGCGUCGGCUGUGAAAUCUCGGGGCUUAACUCCGAGCCUGCAGUCGAUACGGGCAGACUUGAGUUCGGUAGGGGAGACUGGAAUUCCUGGUGUAGCGGUGAAAUGCGCAGAUAUCAGGAGGAACACCGGUGGCGAAGGCGGGUCUCUGGGCCGAAACUGACGCUGAGGAGCGAAAGCGUGGGGAGCGAACAGG
rnacentral:rRNA from 1 species